rnacentral:rRNA from 1 species
CCUACGGGAGGCAGCAGUCGGGAAUUUUGGGCAAUGGGCGAAAGCCUGAUCCAGCAACCCCGCGUGAAGGAUGAAAUCCUUCGGGAUGUAAAAUUCGCAAGAAUGGGAAGAAUUCGUAGGGGUUACUACCCCCUAUGAUGAAGGUACCAUUUGUAAGCUCCGGCUAAUUCCGCGCCAGCAGCCGCGGUAAU